GUUCUCUCUCUCUUCCAGACUCUUCUGAGGGUCACUGUCACUUUUAAAGUAUUUUCUGGGUGGAGGCUUGGGCUUGGAGGACAUAGGCUUUCUCACCAAAAUCUCAAAGGAUUUCUUCAGUCUAGGACUUCCCCCUGGGGACCCAGACAUGUAGCUGCUGUCACUGCUGGAGCGGAUCAUGACCUUCUGAGCCCUGCGAUGCGGGGGUGCUGAGUUCUUCUCUCGUUCCUUCUCCAA
rnacentral:lncRNA from 1 species